GCUCAGGAUGAACGCUAGCUACAGGCUUAACACAUGCAAGUCGAGGGGCAUCAGGGAUUAGCAAUAAUCUGCUGGCGACCGGCGCACGGGUGAGUAACACGUAUCCAACCUUCCGAUAACUCGGGGAUAGCCUUUCGAAAGAAAGAUUAAUACUCGAUAGUAUAAAUUUUCCUCCUGGUUAAUUUAUUAAAGAAUUUCGGUUAUCGAUGGGGAUGCGUUCCAUUAGUUUGUUGGUGAGGUAACGGCUCACCAAGACUACGAUGGAUAGGGGUUCUGAGAGGAAGGUCCCCCACAUUGGAACUGAGACACGGUCCAAACUCCUACGGGAGGCAGCA
rnacentral:rRNA from 1 species